rnacentral:misc_RNA from 1 species
AAGUCGUAACAAGGUAACCGUAGGUGAACCUGCGGUUGGAUCAUUAACAAUAUUAUGAUCGGUGUCAAUUGACUCUCUGGAGUGAUUGGAUUUGGUUCCUCCUCCGGGCUCAUAUUGACCCAAAACCCCAACAUCUUUGUGAACUGUUUUAAAACUUUUGUUUGGCCAAUGGAUGGGAACCCCCCUGGGGCUCCUUUCCAGUGUCCAGACAAUACCAACCUAAUUCAUAUUUGUCAUAAUGAUACAAUUUUCUUUAAAACAAGAAACAACUUUUGGCAACGGAUCUCUUGGCUCUC